rnacentral:rRNA from 1 species
GUCCACGCCCUAAACGAUGCAUAUUUGGUGUGGGCAGUUCAUUCUGUCCGUGCCGGAGCUAACGCGUUAAAUAUGCCGCCUGGGGAGUACAGUCGCAAGGCUGAAACUCAAAGGAAUUGACGGGGGCCCGCACAAGCGGUGGAGCAUGUGGUUCAAUUCGACGCAACGCGAAGAACCUUACCUGGGGCUCGAACGGCUUCUCAACGCCGGUAGAAAUACUGGUACCCCGCAAGGGGGUGGAGUCGAGGUGCUGCAUGGCUGUCGU